AACAAGGUUCAGCGCCAAACCCAUAACACAAGAUCGAAAUAACAUACUGAACACAGACAUACAUUCUAAGAACACACAACAGUGUAGCCCCAUUCAGUUUGAAGUUAGCAGGAUAAUUCAAGUCGCAGAGCUGUAAAGUCAAGCUUUGAAUAGCCCAGCAUAUCCUUUUCUUCUCAUGCAUGGUGCUUCAUUGAGGAUCUACUGACACAAUUUAACACUAAGACAAAUAAUAGGGAGCUUCUGCUAACAGCAUGGAGAACCACAAAAUGAUAAUGUUCAUUUAUCUCUUCAAUAAUAGCUCUAAAACAAAAUUACACUAAGAUCUAUAUAGGAGUACAUUACAAAUAUGUAAUAGCCUGAUAUGCUAGAAGAAUCCAAUCAAUGGUUUUAAAAACAAAUUCUUUGAGCUGGGAGAUGGCUAGAUGGAAAAUGCUUGAGAUAGAUAGAUAGAUAGAUAGAUAGAUAGAUAGAUAGAUAGAUAGAUAGAUAGAUAGAUAGAUAGAUAUAAACUUGUACUUAUAUAUGCUAAGGACCUUAGUUCAAAUCCUCAGAACACAUGAAAAGCUGAUCUAGGUAGGCCAGAUCCAUAACCCUUUUGCUCCCCCAGGGAGAAGAAGUUUGAAGGCCAGCUUGCCUGGUAUGUGCAACAGGAAGAACAAAAGAGACCUUGCCUCAACCAAAGCAGAAGGAGUCACGAAUGUGAUUGGACUCUGAACUCCUGUUUUUGUCUUCAAAGGAGGAAAUGAGAAACGGAAUCAGUUCUAGACCAAGCCUAAUAUGUCUCCUUAUAUAAGGCUUACCUCAGCUACUUCCAUGUUUACAGAAGAAGGGUGAAAUCAAAGACUGCCAUUAUAUUGCGUCCUGUCUUACUGGCCUAACAACUAAGGCUGCUAGCUUUUUACUAGUUUGCUCUCAGAACCCGGAUAUACUCUUCCAUAGCAGUGUGUUAGUGGGCUUGAAGUUAGUCUGGCAUGCCUUCACCCUUUUGUCAAUGAUAUUUUGUUUUCAGUGAAGAUUUGAAGCUGAAAACUACUUGUAGUAAAUAUAUAAACAGCUAAAUGGAAGAGAAAUUACACAUGUGCCCUGGAUAAUUAUUGCCUAUGCAAUAAAAAUAGAGCUGAGGACA